GCGGAAGUUGUGAGUUCCUGCUUUGACCCUGUUUGCAAGCUCUUGUUUCAUUGUUUAAGCGAUUAAAUCUCUCGAGUAGACGCUGUCUCUUUAGAUGCGAGGGCAAAAUAGCACUUUAUGGACUUCCACAGAGGACAUCAUGUUUAAUACGGUUCCGGAAAAAUCCAGUCAGAAGUUGUUCACGGAGUUUUCACAAUAACUGCUUCUCAUGAACCGAAGCUGGAUUUGCGCGAAGUCUCCUCUUGAAAGUUGGAUUACUGUGCACUUCUGGAUCACAGGCUAUUCGCAGCUGGACACAUCCUUCUACACUGUAUGCAAGCAUGCAACAUCAUAACACACAGUACAAGGAGUCAGACUGGCAUAUGAGGAGCAAAGGAACCCAGGCAGUAGCAUCGUUUCACAAUGUUUCCAUCAUCAUCAUCAGUGGAUGCCUUUGCUGUCCGUAGCCUGAGAUUUCAGAUUUGCAGCAAAAAAAAAUUUAUUUUCUCAUUUAUUGGAAUGCUGU